UGCCCCAUGGCCCAGUUGGCUAAGGCGCACGACUGUUACAUUCAGUGUUGAUGUCAUCGUGAGAUCGAGAGUUCGAGCCUCUCUGGGGCAG